CCUACGGGAGGCAGCAGUGGGGAAUCUUCCGCAAUGGACGAAAGUCUGACGGAGCAACGCCGCGUGAACGAAGAAGGUCUUCGGAUUGUAAAGUUCUGUGAUUCGGGACGAAAGGGUAAAUAGUGAAUAACUAUAGACAUUGACGGUACCGAAAAAGCAAGCCACGGCUAACUACGUGCCAGCAGCCGCGGUAAUACGUAGGUGGCAAGCGUUGUCCGGAAUUAUUGGGCGUAAAGCGCGCGCAGGCGGCUUCUUAAGUCCAUCUUAAAAGCGUGGGGCUCAACCCCAUGAGGGGAUGGAAACUGGGAAGCUGGAGUAUCGGAGAGGAAAGUGGAAUUCCUAGUGUAGCGGUGAAAUGCGUAGAGAUUAGGAAGAACACCGGUGGCGAAGGCGACUUUCUAGACGAAAACUGACGCUGAGGCGCGAAAGCGUGGGGAGCAAACAGGAUUAGAUACCCUAGUAGUC
rnacentral:rRNA from 1 species